rnacentral:lncRNA from 1 species
GGGGCGGGGCCUGCGUGGGGCUCGGGGCGCACGUGUCGCGGGAAAUGGAGUGGACACCGGGGGCUUCAGGGGAAGACAUCCAAACGACCGGGAGUCACGCGUGGACUCUUUCGCGCGAGGUUACCAAGCAUGUCCUGAAGAUGAAGAUACUCUCAGCCUAACGUCUCCAAGCAAAUAUUGAUUCAGCAGUAUCCCCAGGCAAAGCCACACCAUAUAUCAGUGAACAGAGAAACAACUGCCCUUCUCCGGGCCCCUGUCUGAGAAGCUGGAGCAUCAGCCCUGGAGCUCUCCGGAGCAGUUUCCUUGCUCACUGUCCCCAGCUGAACACAGGACCACUUACCCAUGGGUGCCACUGCCCACAGUGAGAUGGACCCUCCCACAUCAAUUAUCAGUCAAGAAAAUGUCCCACAGACCAAUUCUGUGGAGGGACAUUUUUUUUCAGUUGAUGGUCUCUUCCCAACUGAUUCUAGCUGUGUUGAGAUGACAUAAAUAGUAGCCAGCAUACCAUCCAAACAGACAGCAAAGCCAAGGCAGCCUUCAGGCCUGCUGUCACUUCAUCCUGUCCUUCCUAGGACCAGAGGGGAUACUGCCUGCUCAGGAAAGCCAAGAGGAGCCUGCUUCUCCUGAAAUGUAAAAAGUACACUGUGCAUAUGGAAAGCAUUAUUGUGUUUCACUGUGCAUCGCCAGAUUCUUCUUGCAAAACAUUGAAGCUUAGCUCAUAAUUUGGUGAUAAAAUAUUGAUUAUUUAUCCACAGCCGCAUGCAGAGGUCCAAAGCACGUAAACAGGAUACCCACCCUGCAUUAUCUUAUAUUUUAAGUCAAUAUGAAGAUGGACAUUCUACCCCUGAGACCAAUUUCGAUCAAAUACUUUUGUCAAUAAAAAGAUACUAAUGUC